GCUCCCCAUCUAACACCGGGACCUCACAAUAUCAGUGCAGAAUCCUGGCUCUUCAAGGGGACAAACUAUCUUGCUCUUUUCCCUCCCUGCUGGAUUCUGUUCCUUCCAGGGCCUAAAGAGAUGCAAACAUC